GGGUUGUGAGGUUAAGCGACUAAGCGUACACGGUGGAUGCCCUGGCAGUCAGAGGCGAUGAAGGACGUGCUAAUCUGCGAAAAGCGUCGGUAAGGUGAUAUGAACCGUUAUAGCCGGCGAUGUCCGAAUGGGGAAACCCAGUGCAAUUCGUUGCACUAUCGUUAACUGAAUACAUAGGUUAACGAGGCGAACCGGGGGAACUGAAACAUCUAAGUACCCCGAGGAAAAGAAAUCAACCGAGAUUCCCCCAGUAGCGGCGAGCGAACGGGGAGCAGCCCAGAGUCUGAAUCAGCUUGUGUGUUAGUGGAACGGUCUGGAAAGUCCGACGGUACAGGGUGAUAGUCCCGUACACCAAAAUGCACAGGUUGUGAACUCGAAGAGUAGGGCGGGACACGUGGUAUCCUGUCUGAAUAUGGGGGGACCAUCCUCCAAGGCUAAAUACUCCUGACUGACCGAUAGUGAACCAGUACCGUGAGGGAAAGGCGAAAAGAACCCCGGCGAGGGGAGUGAAAAAGAACCUGAAACCGUGUACGUACAAGCAGUGGGAGCACCUUCGGGUGUGACUGCGUACCUUUUGUAUAAUGGGUCAGCGACUUAUAUUCUGUAGCAAGGUUAACCGUAUAGGGGAGCCGCAGGGAAACCGAGUCUUAACUGGGCGUUAAGUUGCAGGGUAUAGACCCGAAACCCGGUGAUCUAGCCAUGGGCAGGUUGAAGGUUGGGUAACACUAACUGGAGGACCGAACCGACUAAUGUUGAAAAAUUAGCGGAUGACUUGUGGCUGGGGGUGAAAGGCCAAUCAAACCGGGAGAUAGCUGGUUCUCCCCGAAAGCUAUUUAGGUAGCGCCUCGUGAAUUCAUCUUCGGGGGUAGAGCACUGUUUCGGCUAGGGGGUCAUCCCGACUUACCAACCCGAUGCAAACUACGAAUACCGAAGAAUGUUAUCACGGGAGACACACGGCGGGUGCUAACGUCCGUCGUGAAGAGGGAAACAACCCAGACCGCCAGCUAAGGUCCCAAAGUCAUGGUUAAGUGGGAAACGAUGUGGGAAGGCACAGACAGCCAGGAUGUUGGCUUAGAAGCAGCCAUCAUUUAAAGAAAGCGUAAUAGCUCACUGGUCGAGUCGGCCUGCGCGGAAGAUGUAACGGGGCUAAACCAUGCACCGAAGCUGCGGCAGCGACACUAUGUGUUGUUGGGUAGGGGAGCGUUCUGUAAGCCUGCGAAGGUGGCCUGUGAGGGUUGCUGGAGGUAUCAGAAGUGCGAAUGCUGACAUAAGUAACGAUAAAGCGGGUGAAAAGCCCGCUCGCCGGAAGACCAAGGGUUCCUGUCCAACGUUAAUCGGGGCAGGGUGAGUCGACCCCUAAGGCGAGGCCGAAAGGCGUAGUCGAUGGGAAACAGGUUAAUAUUCCUGUACUUGGUGUUACUGCGAAGGGGGGACGGAGAAGGCUAUGUUAGCCGGGCGACGGUUGUCCCGGUUUAAGCAUGUAGGCUGGUUGUCCAGGCAAAUCCGGAUAAUCAAGGCUGAGGUGUGAUGACGAGGCACUACGGUGCUGAAGUAACAAAUGCCCUGCUUCCAGGAAAAGCCUCUAAGCAUCAGGUAACAUUAAAUCGUACCCCAAACCGACACAGGUGGUCAGGUAGAGAAUACCAAGGCGCUUGAGAGAACUCGGGUGAAGGAACUAGGCAAAAUGGUGCCGUAACUUCGGGAGAAGGCACGCUGGUGUGUAGGUGAAGCCCCUGCGGGUGGAGCUGAGACCAGUCGAAGAUACCAGCUGGCUGCAACUGUUUAUUAAAAACACAGCACUGUGCAAACACGAAAGUGGACGUAUACGGUGUGACGCCUGCCCGGUGCCGGAAGGUUAAUUGAUGGGGUUAUCCGUAAGGAGAAGCUCUUGAUCGAAGCCCCGGUAAACGGCGGCCGUAACUAUAACGGUCCUAAGGUAGCGAAAUUCCUUGUCGGGUAAGUUCCGACCUGCACGAAUGGCGUAAUGAUGGCCAGGCUGUCUCCACCCGAGACUCAGUGAAAUUGAACUCGCUGUGAAGAUGCAGUGUACCCGCGGCAAGACGGAAAGACCCCGUGAACCUUUACUAUAGCUUGACACUGAACAUUGAGCCUUGAUGUGUAGGAUAGGUGGGAGGCUUUGAAGCGUGGACGCCAGUCUGCGUGGAGCCAACCUUGAAAUACCACCCUUUAAUGUUUGAUGUUCUAACGUUGGCCCCUGACCGGGGUUGCGGACAGUGUCUGGUGGGUAGUUUGACUGGGGCGGUCUCCUCCCAAAGCGUAACGGAGGAGCACGAAGGUUAGCUAAUCCUGGUCGGACAUCAGGAGGUUAGUGCAAUGGCAUAAGCUAGCUUGACUGCGAGCGUGACGGCGCGAGCAGGUGCGAAAGCAGGUCAUAGUGAUCCGGUGGUUCUGAAUGGAAGGGCCAUCGCUCAACGGAUAAAAGGUACUCCGGGGAUAACAGGCUGAUACCGCCCAAGAGUUCAUAUCGACGGCGGUGUUUGGCACCUCGAUGUCGGCUCAUCACAUCCUGGGGCUGAAGUAGGUCCCAAGGGUAUGGCUGUUCGCCAUUUAAAGUGGUACGCGAGCUGGGUUUAGAACGUCGUGAGACAGUUCGGUCCCUAUCUGCCGUGGGCGCUGGAGAAUUGAGGGGGGCUGCUCCUAGUACGAGAGGACCGGAGUGGACGCAUCACUGGUGUUCGGGUUGUCAUGCCAAUGGCACUGCCCGGUAGCUAAAUGCGGAAGAGAUAAGUGCUGAAAGCAUCUAAGCACGAAACUUGCCCCGAGAUGAGUUCUCCCUGAGACUUUAAGUCUCCUGAAGGAACGUUAAAGACGAUGACGUUGAUAGGCCGGGUGUGUAAGCGCAGCGAUGCGUUGAGCUAACCGGUACUAAUGAACCGUGAGGCUUAACCUUACAACGCCGAAG
rnacentral:rRNA from 1 species